AUUGAACGCUGGCGGCAUGCUUUACACAUGCAAGUCGAACGGCAGCGGGGGUGCUUGCACCUGCCGGCGAGUGGCGAACGGGUGAGUAAUACAUCGGAACGUAUCCUUAAGUGGGGAAUAACGCAUCGAAAGAUGUGCUAAUACCGCAUAGUCUUUUACAAGUAAAGCAGGGGAUCGAAAGACCUUGCGCUUGAGGAGCGGCCGAUGUCUGAUUAGCUAGUUGGUGGGGUAAAGGCCUACCAAGGCGACGAUCAGUAGUUGGUCUGAGAGGACGACCAACCACACUGGGACUGAGACACGGCCCAGACUCCUACGGGAGGCAGCAGUGGGGAAUUUUGGACAAUGGGCGAAAGCCUGAUCCAGCCAUGCCGCGUGAGUGAAGAAGGCCUC
rnacentral:rRNA from 1 species